rnacentral:tRNA from 1 species
GCGGCAGUAGUUCAGUGGUAGAAUAUUUGCUUCCCAAGCAAAGGGUCGCCGGUUCGAAUCCGGUCUGCCGCU